rnacentral:rRNA from 1 species
AGAGUUUGAUCCUGGCUCAGGACGAACGCUGGCGGCGUGCUUAACACAUGCAAGUCACGGGGGCCCGCAAGGGUAACCGGCGAACGGGUGCGUAACACGUGAGCAAUCUGCCGUACUCUGGGGGAUAGCCGGCCCAACGGCCGGGUAAUACCGCAUACGCUUGUCGAGUGGCAUCGCUUGACAAGGAAACCUCCGGGGGAGUACGAGGAGCUCGCGGCCUAUCAGCUAGUUGGUGGGGUAACGGCCUACCAAGGCAUUGACGGGUAGCUGGUCUGAGAGGAUGGCCAGCCACAUUGGGACUGAGAUACGGCCCAGACUCCUACGGGAGGUAGCAGUGGGGAAUAUUGCGCAAUGGCCGCAAGGCUGACGCAGCGACGCCGCGUGGGGGAUGAAGCAUUUCGGUGUGUAAACCCCUGUUGCUCGGGACGAACAAGCCUUUUCGAGGGCUCUGACGGUACCGAGUGAGGAAGCACCGGCUAACUCCGUGCCAGCAGCCGCGGUAAUACGGAGGGUGCGAGCGUUGUCCGGAAUCACUGGGCGUAAAGGGCGCGUAGGUGGUCUGCUAAGCGUGCGGUGAAAGCCUGGGGCUCAACCCCAGGUCUGCCGUGCGAACUGGUGGACUUGAGCACUGUAGAGGCAGGUGGAAUUCCGGGUGUAGCGGUGGAAUGCGUAGAGAUCCGGAAGAACACCGGUGGCGAAGGCGGCCUGCUGGGCAGUAGCUGACACUGAGGCGCGACAGCGUGGGGAGCAAACAGGAUUAGAUACCCUGGUAGUCCACGCCGUAAACGAUGGGGACUAGG